AGCAAGAAUAGUGAAAUAUGAGUCUUGUAAUUGGAGGAGGAGCUCCAGCUUUAAGGAAACAGAGAAGUUCCUGUUUUAGCAGUAAAAGAAGAAAAGCUCCAUCAUUCUCCAUCAGGCAGCAUGAGAGUCUGUCAGAGUCUGAUCUGUUGUCUCUUCCUGACUCUGCAGGACAGAGACUCUCUUGUUGAUGCAGAAACCAACAUCUAUACAAAACGUGAAGGAGAAGACAUCACUGUUAGAUGUUAUCUUACAUUUUCAGGGAGCAGAAAGCUGCUCUGUAAGGAAACAUGUGAAGAAGGAAACAUUCUCAUAGACACAUCUAGUAAUGAAGAUCAGAGAGGAAGAUACAGCAUUAAAUAUGAAUAUCGAUAUAUUCGAUCAAGUAUUUUAGAUGUGACGAUCACUAAACUCACAAAGUCAGACUCAGGUUGGUACAGAUGUAAGUUA